CAAAUCCAGGUCUGCUCACCUCCAGGCCCAGGGCCUGUCCACUGUGCCACCCAGCCUCCUCUAAGGCAGCUGAAUCACUGAGGAAGCUGAGGCACAAAUCAUUCUCGACAUUUCUGUUCUCAGACAAUUAACCUUGAUACAACAGAGCAAGCUUGGGCCGCAAGUUGGUCAAGGAAAAGAACAGUUUGAGAAAAGGUGGGACUUAGCAAUGGGCAAAAUGGUACUUGGAAAACCAGAGCUUUUAACAGACUCAGACAUGAAUUCGAUAUCACCCAUCAAGAGAUUUCCAAGACUGACUGAGGGGAAAAGCUUUCUGUUUGACGCUUGCUCUACCUCUGGUUUGCUGUAUGGUUUUAGAUCUAGACUCAACUAUAUCUUGGACAGUGAGUGAUGUUCCUGAGAACCUACAGCUAAAUUUACUGAGGAUUAAACUGAAGUUUACAUGUGAAACCCUGAAGAAGAAGGAAUCUGUGACAUAUAGAAACAGGCCAGCUCUAAAACUGAAUAGGAACUAAAAAACAAAAACAAAACCCUACUUGAAUAAAAGGAACCUCAGCCACCCUUGGAGUGUAAUGUUCUUGAGGAUCUGCAGCCCCAGGACAGCUCCCGAUCAGCAGCAUCCCCUCCAGGAGCUGAAUGCUUGUCUGCAAGUAUGGGUACUUAUCUUUUCCCCCCAAGGAUCUGAGCGGUUCUUAUGAAACUCACUAAGAAACUCGACUUGGUCCCAGCAUGGAGAAAGGAGAGCUUCUAGCCAACAGGGACAACUGUUUGGGAAGUUGUUGGGAAGUAGCAAGUUGGAUUCUUAAGGAUUCUGCUUGAAGAUUCCAGGAUGAACUCACUGACC
rnacentral:lncRNA from 1 species